rnacentral:rRNA from 1 species
CCUACGGGCGGCUGCAGUCGAGAAUCAUUCACAAUGGGGGAAACCCUGAUGGUGCGACGCCGCGUGGGGGAAUGAAGGUCUUCGGAUUGUAAACCCCUGUCAUGUGGGAGCAAAUUAAAAAGAUAGUACCACAAGAGGAAGAGACGGCUAACUCUGUGCCAGCAGCCGCGGUAAUACAGAGGUCUCAAGAGUUGUUCGGCAUCACUGGGCGUAAAGCGUGCGUAGGCUGUUUCGUAAGUCGUGUGUGAAAGGCGAGGGCUCAACCCGCGGACGGCACAUGAUACUGCGAGACUAGAGUAAUGGAGGGGGAACCGGAAUUCUCGGUGUAGCAGUGAAAUGCGUAGAUAGCGAGAGGAACACUCGUGGCGAAGGCGGGUUCCUGGACAUUAACUGACGCUGAGGCACGAAGGCCAGGGGAGCGAAAGGGAUUAGAUACCCGGGUAGUC